rnacentral:rRNA from 1 species
AGGAACAUGGGGGGGCGUGCUUACCAUGCAGUCGACGAUGAUGCCCAGCUUGCUGGGCGGAUUAGUGGCGAACGGGUGAGUAAUACGUGAGUAACCUGCCCUUGACUCUGGGAUAAGCCUGGGAAACUGGGUCUAAUACUGGAUACUACCUCUUACCGCAUGGUGGGUGGUGGAAAGGGUUUUACUGGUUUUGGAUGGGCUCACGGCCUAUCAGCUUGUUGGUGGGGUAAUGGCUCACCAAGGCGACGACGGGUAGCCGGCCUGAGAGGGUGACCGGCCACACUGGGACUGAGACACGGCCCAGACUCCUACGGGAGGCAGCAGUGGGGAAUAUUGCACAAUGGGCGGAAGCCUGAUGCAGCGACGCCGCGUGAGGGAUGACGGCCUUCGGGUUGUAAACCUCUUUCAGUAGGGAAGAAGCGAGAGUGACGGUACCUGCAGAAGAAGCGCCGGCUAACUACGUGCCAGCAGCCGCGGUAAUACGUAGGGCGCAAGCGUUGUCCGGAAUUAUUGGGCGUAAAGAGCUCGUAGGCGGUUUGUCGCGUCUGCUGUGAAAGCCCGGGGCUCAACCCCGGGUCUGCAGUGGGUACGGGCAGACUAGAGUGCAGUAGGGGAGACUGGAAUUCCUGGUGUAGCGGUGAAAUGCGCAGAUAUCAGGAGGAACACCGAUGGCGAAGGCAGGUCUCUGGGCUGUUACUGACGCUGAGGAGCGAAAGCAUGGGGAGCGAACAGGAUUAGAUACCCUGGUAGUCCAUGCCGUAAACGUUGGGCACUAGGUGUGGGGGACAUUCCACGUUUUCCGCGCCGUAGCUAACGCAUUAAGUGCCCCGCCUGGGGAGUACGGCCGCAAGGCUAAAACUCAAAGGAAUUGACGGGGGCCCGCACAAGCGGCGGAGCAUGCGGAUUAAUUCGAUGCAACGCGAAGAACCUUACCAAGGCUUGACAUUCACCGGACCGCCCCAGAGAUGGGGUUUCCCUUCGGGGCUGGUGGACAGGUGGUGCAUGGUUGUCGUCAGCUCGUGUCGUGAGAUGUUGGGUUAAGUCCCGCAACGAGCGCAACCCUCGUUCUAUGUUGCCAGCACGUGAUGGUGGGGACUCAUAGGAGACUGCCGGGGUCAACUCGGAGGAAGGUGGGGAUGACGUCAAAUCAUCAUGCCCCUUAUGUCUUGGGCUUCACGCAUGCUACAAUGGCCGGUACAAAGGGUUGCGAUACUGUGAGGUGGAGCUAAUCCCAAAAAGCCGGUCUCAGUUCGGAUUGAGGUCUGCAACUCGACCUCAUGAAGUCGGAGUCGCUAGUAAUCGCAGAUCAGCAACGCUGCGGUGAAUACGUUCCCGGGCCUUGUACACACCGCCCGUCAAGUCACGAAAGUUGGUAACACCCGAAGCCGGUGGCCUAACCCCUUGUGGGAGGGAGCCGUCGAAGGUGGACUGCCGAAUGGC